rnacentral:piRNA from 1 species
UCCAGGCUGCAAAUGACUCCUUUCUGUUUGG